GGAGCUAUAUCGGUGAAGAUAUUGCUUCGGCAUAUGUCUGAGAUUUUGCUGCCUGUGGAUUCCUCUAGAGCAGAAACUUUUCGUCCUCAGAGGCAGUGGUAAAUGGGAAAGAGGUCAGUCACCAGGCUGAGGCCCAUCACGAUCCAUGAUAGGCCUGGACUGUCCUCACCAGCUAGGCCAGUUACACUAUGGGUGAGAGCUGUACACACAGAGCACUGAGCACCUCACUGGGUUCUCAUUACACAGUCAAGGGGGAAAUGCUCCUUGGGCUUCCAGGGUCAUCCUUGAGUGCAGAGCCUCAGGCCCAGGACUGAAGAGAAGCAGGGCUGUGUGACCUGAAGGAACACACGCAAGAGUAGGGAAGCAGAAGGAGUCAGCGCUUCACACAGAGUCCUGAGCACUACAGCACUGUUGCAAUCUACCAGGCCAUAUGCUUGCUAGGUGGCCAUCACUGCCCCCACAGAAUGAAGGGAGAACACUACCUAUGCCCCGCCCCACAACACCUGUUCCCCCCCUUCCCCCAACAGUGUGUAAAUCAGAUUAACAUGGGCCUGUUUACAGGCCUCAUCUAAACCUGUGUGCCCAGCCGUAUGUCAAGCAAGGCUCAAGGAAACAAUGAAAGAGGCACAUAGGACAGUGACAGAUGUUGUUUUUAAUUCAUAACUGACAAAUGAACUACUGAAUAAAAUGUCAAACGUGAAGUUUUUAAAUAACAAAAUGUGAUGGAUUGAUUCAUGGACCUGGAAAAAUGUUAUUAUACAUCACAUGUUUCUGGAUGAAAGACGAUCCAGCAAAGGCACCGACAUUAUCUGUCACAUAAAGGUUUUUGGCACAGUCCAUUGCUUCUUUUCAGUAGGCAGAACCUCAAUUCUGGGAGGUAUCAUAAGUGACAUCCAAGAGCAGUGAGGAGUUUCCCAAAGGGUCAGCCUCAAUUGCUGAGGGGACUGGGCACAGAAGGCAGGAGGUGUCUGCGAGUCCACAGGAAAAGGGAGCCCUGAAGACCUGGGUGUGACCACCAUCAAACAGACAACCCUGUUCUCACUCUUGGAGGGCCUUAACACAAUGAAGAUGGCCUCAGGAGCACUUGCCAAGACAAGUUAUCUUCAGCUCAAGCUUCCUCACUGCUAACUGAACAAGUGCUCAGGCCAUGGAGAGAAGUUCCCCAAAGACAAUGAGAAGGUUAAGUUUAAUGAGACUUGUUUAUAAACAUGUGUUUCUGAGAGCUUUCUUUUCUUUUUAUCCAAGUGGUAUCUUUGAUUAAAAAAAAAAAAAAAAAAAAAAAAAGGUCUCCAGAACAGAUCUUCAAAAGAGAGCACUGCCUCAGAAAAUGAAGGUUUGCACCCAAUCUGGGGUAGGCCAACCUUGAAUGCAGGUGCCAACCAGGUGGACGGCCCUUGGUACUCACCUCUGCCCUUUCCCAGGUUCCAUGGCUGGACCUGACCCAACAGACCCAGUGACUUGCAGCAGCACCUGGCCACCCACUAAGGAGGGACGAAGUAGAACAUUGUGCUGGCUAAAACCUGCUCACUUCCUCUCUGACACCUCUCCACACAUGAAGAUGGUAAGUGUCACGGACACCAGAGCAGGUGAGAGAGGAGACAGGUGGUGAGACAAACACUGAGAUUUGAAAAGCAAAAAGUGUUUUAUUGUUACUAAUGGUGUUGGGGUGGCAGACAGUGAGACAUGAUUCAGGCAGAAAGAGCAAAAGAGAUGGCAUUGCAGAGCUGCCCUUCUCUCUGCAGAAUUUAAGUGUCAGGUGUGCUGCUUCGUGUCCACAUGUGUGGAUGUAGAGGACUUCAAACUUGAUGCUGCAGCAGCCCAGCCCCAAAAACUGGUCGGACCAAAUGUGCUACCAAAGCUGCUUAUUGAGUGAGCCUGCAUAUCCAGUACAUGAGUGUGAGCCUUAGAACAGGCAAUAGGCUACGUCCUGUGGCUACCCCCAACCUAGGGUUCAUCCUGGGAACUGCCGAGUCUAUACCUCAAUACAAUCCAUUAGGAGGGAGCCUCAGGAAGUGUGGAGCCCCUGAUGCGUAUUUUAUCCCAGUGGUUCUCAACUGGGGCAAUUGUGCCUCCACGCCCCCCAAACCUUGGCAAUGUCUGGUGACAUUUUGAUUGCCAUAACUGGAGAAGGGAGAAAGUGUUACUGGCAUUUAGUACAUAGAGGAAAGGAUACUAUAGUAUACAACAAUAAACAGGACAGUUCCCACUUGAGAGAUCCUGAUCUAGUCUGUAGACUCUACCCUCCCUCCCACAGGAAGAACCCCACCAAGUGUUCAGUGACGACCAUCAAAGCACUCAGCAGUAGGGCAGGCCCUUUGUGCAGUGAUAACCUGAACCACCCUUCAGAGCAGUAGAGAGAAAGAAACCUAAGCACAGGAAGCUGAGAUCCAGAGGUAGCUGUGGCAGGUUGAAAAAGGCAUGUUUAAAUAUCCUAAGGCUGUGAAUGGGAAACAAUAAGAAACUUACACCCAUGACCUAAACAGUUUAAAAUGGCAGUACUAAUGAGGCUUUGCAGUAAGACUGCCAACCAGAGCUGCAACUUUACAUUGAGAAAUACCGUACUGAGCAGAAGAAGGCACUCACGGCCCUCCAGAGCCAAAUGGGCAUUCAGGAAGCUCAAGAGGGGUAAGCAAGGGGCCAAGAUAGCUGGAGGAAGCUGAGGAGGGAGUGGGCACACCUCUAAUGAGGGUGAGAUGACCCAACUCCCUCAGCAGCCACAUGCACAUCCCACUCCCCAGAGGGUAAAACACCAACCUGGCAAAGAUGCACUCAUCUCAAUGUCUCAGCACAACCUCUUGCCCCUGGGAAAGCAGUCCCGUCACUCUAGCAGCCACAGAGCUGAAGCCCAAGGACACACUGCCAGGCGCAAGCACUUGCUUUCUUUUUCAGUUCUGCCUGGACUCCUGGCUCAACACAUGCAAGUCGGGGCUGCAACUCUGCUCGACAUUGCUGUUUCCAAGUGCCAGCCUUUGACAUUUCACUUCCCAUAAGAUUACACCCAAUAAUUUCUGAUUUACAUUCCUAUGGAUUUUUUUUCCUUACUUUUUUUUUUUUUUUAAUGAAGCAAAUUCAACUCAGAGCAGGGAUUUGAAAAGCACAGCUAGGAGCUUUUUUGUUUGCCACGAAGAAUGCCCUGAUUAUUCCACAAUAAAACAAGCCACUGCAGAAUGAGAAUAUAUCCAGCCAGGAAACUGGACAUGAGGAAAAGCAUCUUGGCACAUACAGCCUGGCCUGGAACAGCUGCUCCCAUGGGGACUCACCUCUCUUGGAAGAACUGCCUUCCCCAUCCCCCAACAGCAGGUAAAAGAUUCAACGCAGCAGCCUUCAUGAGCCAGAAGGAAAAACCAGUCAUUUUGAAAUCAACAUCCAAGGGAGGACAGAAAGAAUUCUGGAGUUUGGAAAUGGCAACAACAGAUGAUCACACACACACACACACACCCCUGCUUCUCCGUCACAUGCUUUAUGUGAAAUGGCAGCCUAGGCCAGCACCUCACGGCAGCUUCGAUGAUUUAAGGCAAAUGCAGUGCUCUUGAGAUCACACUGCUCUUAUCCACUUCAUCAACAAAGGGUCACUGAACACCUACUGUGUGCCAUACAUUUCUCCCGGGCACUGGAGAGACAGCAAAGAGCAAAACUGAGCCCAUGCCCUCAAGAAGCCCACAUUUUAGUGGAGUAGAAAGACCCCCCAAAAAUAGAAACCAGAUAAAAGUUACAGUGUGUCAUAUGGUGAUAAUCACUGUGAGGAAAAUACAGCAGGGAAGGGAGAGGGGAGUAUCUGGAUGGGGUUGGUGUAAAUGUACGUAAACGGAGAAGCCCUCACUGGGAAGGUGACAUCUGAGGAUGUGGGGAAAGCCCUCAGGACACCUGGGGAGAGCUUUCUCCACAGAGGACUAGCCAGUGCCAAGGUCCCAAGGCUGCAGCAGCUCUACACUCACAGCAGGCCUGUCCCUCCAGACAAACCCCUGGGUGCCAGGCAGGGACCUCAGCACCCCUGAAACACCCCUUCUGGGCACCUCUACCCACAGGAGUGGGAGCCUGAGAAACAGGGCUGCCCGUGAGGACCCAGGCACCUCCUGUCUGAUGACAGCCUAACCAAGGCUGUACUGUCCAGCAUCAGUCCAAGGCUGAGAUGCUAGUCGCUACACCACCACCGCUGCAAAAGCACCCAGCAGUGUCCCCUGCACUCCACACUAUGGGCACGAUGACACAGGAACAAGUCACGAGCAGCCUUCCUCCUUCGUGGGAUUCCUUCCUGCCUCCGCCACAUGAGCCAGCCAAGCACCUCAGCGCAAGACCAGUCUCAGGGACUCUCCCAGAUGGAGAUGUUUACAGGGUAGACUCAGUGCUUCGUGCUCUCUCUUCCCACAGGCAUAACUCACUAGCAUGGGUAUGUUUAAUAAAUAGUUUUACUUCUGCAAUUAAA